rnacentral:rRNA from 1 species
CCUACGGGAGGCAGCAGUGAGGAAUAUUGGUCAAUGGUCGGGAGACUUAACCAGCCAAGCCGCGUGAGGGAUGAAGGUACAGAGUAUCGUCAACCUCUUUUGUCAGGGAACAAAUGCGGGGACGUGUCCCCGUAUGAGUGUACCUGAAGAAAAAGCAUCGGCUAACUCCGUGCCAGCAGCCGCGGUAAUACGGAGGAUGCGAGCGUUAUCCGGUGUUAUUGGGUUUAAAGGGUGCUCAGGCGGUCUUUUAAGUCAGCGGUAAAAGCCCGGGGUUCAACCCCUGCCCGCCGUUGAAACUGGCAGUCUCGAGUUGGAGAGAAGUAUGCGGAAUGCGCGGCGUAGCGGUGAAAUGCAUAGAUAUCGCGCAGAACUCCGAUUGCGAAGGCAGCAUGCCGGCUCCACACUGACGCUGAGGCACGAAAGCGUGGGUAUCGAACAGGAUUAGAUACCCCGGUAGUC